GUCACUCUAAACGUUCCCGUUCAGCUAGGCAUGGUGCAUCCUCCUCUGCUGCCCCACCUCCUCCAAAUUACCCUUAUCAAGAUGGGUCCAUUUUACAAUUUAAUUGUGACACCGAGCUUACUCGGUUUUUGACAAAAUUUGAAAAGCGUGACAUUCUUCCUCCCCGCUUUUCAACAAGCAAGUAUCUUGAAUCAUAUGCCCCUGCUGCCAACAUGCUUAAAGAAUGCCAACUUCUUGACUUCUUAUUUCUUACCUACCUUUAC
rnacentral:lncRNA from 1 species